AUAGAGAAAAAAAUUGGUUCAAAACUUCCUGUAAGCCACUUGUCUGUGUGAGCACAAACAUUUUUCAUUAUCGCUAGUGUUUUUAUCUAUAAAACACAAAUCAUAUGAAGUCUCUUCAAUGAGAUGCUAAAAUGUGAUAAUGUGGGAACAACUGCAAGGCAAUAGUUAAUAGAAGUUUGGGGAUCAAACGACAUUGACAUGAAUUGUAACUCUAAUUUUCUUGCUGUGAAACCUAGGGCAAUUAGCUUAACUUGCUUGUAUCUUAGUUUCUUACCUGCAAAAUCACUAUGAAAACAGUAACUACCUCACAGGGCGUUUAUGCAUGGGACUUAGUGAUAUGGUCCAGCUUUGUGUCCCUACCCAAAUUUCAUCUUGAACUGUAAUCCCUAUAAUCCCCACAUGUCAAGAGAGAGACCAGGUGGAGGUAAUUUUUUCAUGGAGCACUUUCCCCCAUGCUCUUCUUAUAAUAGUGAGUGUGUUCUAGGAGUUCUGAUAGUUUUAUAAGGGGUGAUUUCUGCUUUACUCAACCCUUCUCCUUCUUGUCACCUUGGGAAGAAGUGCUUUGCUUCCCCUUCACCUCCUGCCAUGAUUGUAAGUUUCCUGAGGCCUCCCAGACCUGCUGAACUGAUCUACAUCAAUGACAAGCAAAAGAAGAAGGGGAAAGAGGAGAAGAAGGAAAAGGAGGAUGAGAAGAAGAGAAGGAGGAGUAACGGAAGGAGGAGAGAGAUGAGAAGGAAAAGGAAAAGACAACAGAAGAAAGGAAAAAGAAUAGCACAUGCAAAAUUAUUAAUUUGGGGAAGAAUUCAAAAAGAAAAGAAACAGCACUAUUUAUUUAAUGUAAGUUUUGAUACUGAAAAUAUAAGAAUUUAUCCAUAGGCCCUCAAAGUGCCAAGAGCUAAUAAUUAAUAGCUGGAGGAAUUGGUUUUAUUCACAGCAAGGACACUUUGGGCUAUUAACCAAGGAAGAGAACAUCAGAGGAGAAAAAAUGAGAACUUUCCACCCCCUCUUCCUGAACUAUCCUUUAGCUAGCACACAAAACCCGGCCAAGCAUUGCCUCCUGAGGCUAGAGAGGGUUUGCUUGUACUUUUUUGGCUAGUUAUGUGGUUUUAUUGCUCUAUAUUUUCACACGCCUUUGUGGAAGGGAAGAGGAAACGCAGUCCUGAGAGUUUGCUCUCAUGAAGAGGAAGCCACAGCAAAUCCUGAUAGAGGCAGAAACCCCUUGGGUCAUAUUUUUUCUUGCUCUGUUGUAGGAGGAAAAUACUUGAGUGACUGGGUUCAUCUUCUCAGAUAAAGAAGGACUUCUUUAUUUGGAAUCAGUGUUGACCAACUAGGGCAUUGGAAAGUNNNNNNNNNNNNNNNNNNNNNNNNNNNNNNNNNNNNNNNNNNNNNNNNNNNNNNNNNNNNNNNNNNNNNNNNNNNNNNNNNNNNNNNNNNNNNNNNNNNNGUAAUAUAAUCCACUGGAGUGACAUGAAUUAAUUAGUGGUACGCAAUUCUCAGAGAAAGUCACUUUAUGGGUUCUUCUAUUGUAUAUUUUUCAGUUAUUAUUGCUAUUAUUAUUACUCUAUUGUAUUAUUCUAUACUGUUAAUUUUUAAGGACCUCUUAUCCCACUCUCUAAGGUUAGACUUAUAAGACUUGGCAGAACCUACAGCUUAACAUGGAGGCAGGACACAGGGUACAUUCAAAGUGGAGAUUGGCACUGUUAUAGAUCCCAUGACUUUUUUAAAAAUAUGAUCAAAAACAGAGAAAUUAACACUGCAAAAUAUGAUCCUAUACAUUUAAAUAAUUCACUUGGAUGGGUGUGGUGGCUCACACCUAUAAUCUCAUCACUUUGAGACGCUAAGGAGGGAAGACCACUUGAGGUCAGAAAUUCAGGAUGAGCCUAGCCAACAUGGUGAAACCCCAUCUCUACUAAAACAUACAAAAAAUUAGCUGGGCAUGGUGGUGGGUGCCUGUAAUUUCAGCUACUGGGGAGGCCAAGACAGGAGAAUUGCUUGAACCUGGGAGGCAGAGGUUGCAUUAAGUCAAGAUUGUACCACUGCACGCUAGCCUGGACAACAGAACAAGACUCCAUCUCAAAUAAAUAAAUAAAUUAAAUAAAGAUUCCA
rnacentral:lncRNA from 13 species